rnacentral:rRNA from 1 species
CACGUAGGGCGCAAGCGUUGUCCGGAAUUAUUGGGCGUAAAGAGCUCGUAGGCGGUCUGUUGCGUCUGCUGUGAAAACCCGGGGCUUAACCCUGGGCUUGCAGUGGAUACGGACAGACUAGAGGUAGGUAGGGGAGAAUGGAAUUCCCGGUGUAGCGGUGAAAUGCGCAGAUAUCGGGAGGAACACCGGUGGCGAAGGCGGUUCUCUGGGCCGUUCCUGACGCUGAGACCCGAAAGCCAGGGUAGCGAACCGG